rnacentral:rRNA from 1 species
UACGUAGGGUGCAAGCGUUAUCCGGAAUUAUUGGGCGUAAAGAGCUCGUAGGCGGUUUGUCGCGUCUGCUGUGAAAACUGGGGGCUCAACCCCCAGCCUGCAGUGGGUACGGGCAGACUAGAGUGCGGUAGGGGAGAUUGGAAUUCCUGGUGUAGCGGUGGAAUGCGCAGAUAUCAGGAGGAACACCGAUGGCGAAGGCAGAUCUCUGGGCCGUAACUGACGCUGAGGAGCGAAAGCAUGUGGAGCGAACAGG